ensembl:lncRNA
CCGCCCGGUGCAUCCUGCCCUGGAUCCACGAGCCUCACUCCCCACCUCCUUCAAGUCCUUGUUUGCACGUCGCGUUCUCAACGAGGCCUUCCCUCAUUGUAAACUGCACCCCUGCUUCACUGUCUACAGAGCACUUAAUACCUUCUAUUGAUAACAUACCAUAUACUUUAUUUGUAUUAGGCUUAUCAUCUGUUUCUCCCAUGAGAAAGUAAGUUCCCAUAAAGGCAAGAUUUCGGGUGUUUUCUUCAAUGUACUCUCCAUCACCUAGUAGAGUACCUGGUACAAAAUAAAUGCUCAGUAUACACUUACUGAAUGAGUAAGUGAAGGAAGGUUUGGGAGUGGGGAAAGUUGGUAGAAAGGUGGGGCUUCUUGUGAAGCUUGGCCUGUAGUUAGUUGUGUCCAACUCUGCGAUCCCAUGGACUGUAGUUCGCCAGGCUCCUCUGUCCAUGGAGUUCUCCAGACAAGAAUACUGGAGUGGGUUGCCAUUCUCUUCUCCAGCAGAUCUUCCUGACCCAGGGAUCGACCCCAGGUCUCCUGCAUUGCGGGCAGAUUGUUUACCAUCUGAGCCACAAGAGAUGGGAACUUAUUUGCAGGAGAAAUUGGUCAUUGAGUCUUGAAACACUUCCAGGGAUAAAACCAAAUCCUUUGCUUUCGUCAGCACCUCCAUGCCAGGCACACAGCACAUUUCUGUGGAUUUAUUUGAGACCAGAGUCUGGCCUUUCUCCAGGAAGUCGUAAGAAUACAGAAGCCCCCAGGAGUCCCCAUGAGCCACUGAAGGUAGAUGGGAGUGAUUAUGUCUAAAGGAAGUUGACUUAUUUUUGUUUGGUUUUGUUUAACAAACAAUCCCUUCAGAAGUGAUACUCCAAAUAAACAUGUUCCCUCGGAGGCCAGUGUGCAUUUCAGCAAUAUUCCUAGAAACAUCUUCAUGGUCGGCAAGUUUUUUUAUUGUACACAACAGCAAAUUUUCACUUUUGCAAAGUGGGCUUAUUUUUGCGAAUGACCCAAAGUUUCUUAAAGCAAAAAUCUAGGAAGUAAACCAGCUGAGAGGAUUUGUAACCUACUGAAUGGGUCAAGCGUGUGUUUGGAGUUGAAGGUCGGGUGGUCACUGCUUUGCACAGUUCCUGCUCCGAUCCUGGUGGUCUGUCCACUGAGCUGCUGCUGCAGGGUCCUUGGCAGUGGUCAGCAUAAUCCUUUGUCCUGCUCUGUAUUUCCAGGAUGCCCAAAGUCUUCUCCAAAAGAUGCCUGAGGACCAAGGGGAAUGCUGCAGAAAUGGUUUCCCAGGCUGCCAUCCGUGCUGUCUCAAAGCUGUAGCGGGGCAGAGGGGUGCUAAGACUUUCUGUUUCUCCCUUCUCAGGGUUUCUUAAUUGGUGUCUUUUUAUUUUAUUUAUUUAUUUUGGCCACACUCUGCAGCAUGCAGGAUCUCUGUCCCUUGAUCAGGGAUUGAACCCAGGCCCCCUAGGUUGGGAGUAGGAAGUCUUAACCACUGGACCACCAGGGAAGCCCCUCAGACUUUCUUUUCUUAAAAGAUUAGGUCUCCGGACC